AUUGAACGCUGUCGGCAUGCCUUACACAUGCAAGUCGAACGGUAACAGGUUAAGCUGACGAUUGGCGAACGGGUGAGUAAUGUAUCGGAACGUUCCCAGUCGUGGGGGAUAACUGCUCGGACGAGCAGCUAAUACCUCAUACGACCUGCGGGUUAAAGCGGGUGAUCGCAAGACCUCUCGCGAUUGGAUCGGCCGUUAUCAGCUUAGGUAGUUGGUGAGGUAACGGCUCACCAAGCCGACGAUCUGUAGCUUGUCUCAGAGGUCGACCAGCCACACUGGUACUGAUACACGACACAGACUCCUAUGGGAGGCAGCAGUGGGGAAUUUUGGACAAUGGGCGCAAGCCUGAUCCAGCCAUGCCGCGUGCGGGAAGAAGGCCUUCGGGUUGUAAACCGCUUUUGUCAGGGAAGAAAAGGUUCUGGCUAAUACCUGGGACUCAUGACGGUACCUGAAGAAUAAGCACCGGCUAACUACGUG
rnacentral:rRNA from 1 species